rnacentral:rRNA from 1 species
GACGAACUUUGGCGGCGUGCUUAACACAUGCAAGUCGAACGGAAAGGCCCUGCUUUUGUGGGGUGCUCGAGUAGCGAACGGGUGAGUAACACGUGAGUAACCUGCCCUUGACUUUGGGAUAACUUCAGGAAACUGGGGCUAAUACCGGAUAGGAGCUCCUGCUGCAUGGUGGGGGUUGGAAAGUUUCGGCGGUUGGUGAUGGACUCGCGGCUUAUCAGCUUGUUGGUGGGGUAGUGGCUUACCAGGGCUUUGACGGGUAGCCGGCCUGAGAGGGUGACCGGCCACAUUGGGACUGAGAUACGGCCCAGACUCCUACGGGAGGCAGCAGUGGGGAAUAUUGCACAAUGGGCGGAAGCCUGAUGCAGCAACGCCGCGUGCGGGAUGACGGCCUUCGGGUUGUAAACCGCUUUCGCCUGUGACGAAGCGUGAGUGACGGUAAUGGGUAAAGAAGCACCGGCUAACUACGUGCCAGCAGCCGCGGUGAUACGUAGGGUGCGAGCGUUGUCCGGAUUUAUUGGGCGUAAAGGGCUCGUAGGUGGUUGAUCGCGUCGGAAGUGUAAUCUUGGGGCUUAACCCUGAGCGUGCUUUCGAUACGGGUUGACUUGAGGAAGGUAGGGGAGAAUGGAAUUCCUGGUGGAGCGGUGGAAUGCGCAGAUAUCAGGAGGAACACCAGUGGCGAAGGCGGUUCUCUGGGCCUUUCCUGACGCUGAGGAGCGAAAGCGUGGGGAGCGAACAGGCUUAGAUACCCUGGUAGUCCACGCUGUAAACGGUGGGUGCUAGGUGUGGGGUCCAUUCCACGGGUUCCGUGCCGUAGCUAACGCUUUAAGUACCCCGCCUGGGGAGUACGGCCGCAAGGCUAAAACUCAAAGGAAUUGACGGGGCCCCGCACAAGCGGCGGAGCAUGCGGAUUAAUUCGAUGCAACGCGUAGAACCUUACCUGGGUUUGACAUGGAUCGGGAGUGCUCAGAGAUGGGUGUGCCUCUUUUGGGGUCGGUUCACAGGUGGUGCAUGGCUGUCGUCAGCUCGUGUCGUGAGAUGUUGGGUUAAGUCCCGCAACGAGCGCAACCCUUGUUCACUGUUGCCAGCACGUUAUGGUGGGGACUCAGUGGAGACCGCCGGGGUCAACUCGGAGGAAGGUGGGGAUGACGUCAAGUCAUCAUGCCCCUUAUGUCCAGGGCUUCACGCAUGCUACAAUGGCUGGUACAGAGAGUGGCGAGCCUGUGAGGGUGAGCGAAUCUCGGAAAGCCGGUCUCAGUUCGGAUUGGGGUCUGCAACUCGACCUCAUGAAGUCGGAGUCGCUAGUAAUCGCAGAUCAGCAACGCUGCGGUGAAUACGUUCCCGGGGCU